GACGAACGCUGGCGGCGUGCUUAACACAUGCAAGUCGAACGGAAAGGCCCUGCUUUUGUGGGGUGCUCGAGUGGCGAACGGGUGAGUAACACGUGAGUAACCUGCCCUUGACUUUGGGAUAACUUCAGGAAACUGGGGCAAAUACCGGAUAGGAGCUCCUGCGGCAGGGUGGGGGUGGGAAAGUUUCGGCGGUUGGGGAUGGACUCGCGGCUUAUCAGCUUGUUGGUGGGGUAGUGGCUUACCAAGGCUUUGACGGGUAGCCGGCCUGAGAGGGUGACCGGCCACAUUGGGACUGAGAUACGGCCCAGACUCCUACGGGAGGCAGCAGUGGGGAAUAUUGCACAAUGGGCGGAAGCCUGAUGCAGCAACGCCGCGUGCGGGAUGACGGCCUUCGGGUUGUAAACCGCUUUCGCCUGUGACGAAGCGUGAGUGACGGUAAUGGGUAAAGAAGCACCGGCUAACUACGUG
rnacentral:rRNA from 1 species